AGGACGAACGCUGGCGGCGUGCUUAACACAUGCAAGUCGAGCGAAGUCCAACCGGUGGCAACACCGGGGAAGGCUUAGCGGCGAACGGGUGAGUAAUACAUAAGCAACGUGCCCCGACGACCGGGAUAGCCCCUCGAAAGAGGGAUUAAUACCGGAUGUGGCCUUUUUGAGGCAUCUCAGAAAGACUAAAACGAGUAAUCGGCAUCGGGAGCGGCUUGUGGCCUAUCAGCUUGUUGGUGGGGUAACGGCCUACCAAGGCUUCGACGGGUAGCGGGUCUGAGAGGACGAUCCGCCCGACUGGGACUGAGACACGGCCCAGACUCCUACGGGAGGCAGCAGUUGGGAAUCUUGCACAAUGGGCGAAAGCCUGAUGCAGCGACGCCGCGUGGAGGACGAAGUCUCUAGGGAUGGUAAACUCCCUUUGCCAGGAAGGAUAAUGACGGUACCUGGUGAAUAAGCCCCGGCUAACGUACGUGCCAGCAGCCGC
rnacentral:rRNA from 1 species